rnacentral:rRNA from 1 species
UUUAACGGCCGCGGUAUUUUGACCGUGCGAAGGUAGCGCAAUCACUUGUCUUUUAAAUGAAGACCUGUAUGAAUGGCACGACGAGGGCUUAACUGUCUCCUUUUUCCAGUCAAUGAAAUUGAUCUUCCCGUGCAGAAGCGGGAAUAAUAUCAUAAGACGAGAAGACCCUGUGGAGCUUUAGACACUAAAUCAGCCCUUGUCCAAAAUCCCAGUUAAAGGAAUGAACACUAGAGCGAGACCUGAUCUAAUGUCUUCGGUUGGGGCGACCUUGGGGAAAGAAAAAUCCCCCAUGCGGAACGGAAAUACUAUACUUCCAAAACUAAGAGCAACCACUCAAAGUAUCAAAAAUUUUGACCAACUAUAUGAUCCGGCUUAACGCCGAUCAACGGACCGAGUUACCCCAGGGAUAACAGCGCAAUCCUCUUUUAGAGCCCAUAUCGACAAGAGGGUUUACGACCUCGAUGUUGGAUCAGGACAUCCUAA